rnacentral:rRNA from 1 species
AGUGAACGCUGGCGGUAGGCCUAACACAUGCAAGUCGAACGGCAGCACAGGAGAGCUUGCUCUCUGGGUGGCGAGUGGCGGACGGGUGAGGAAUACAUCGGAAUCUACUUUUUCGUGGGGGAUAACGUAGGGAAACUUACGCUAAUACCGCAUACGACCUACGGGUGAAAGCAGGGGACCUUCGGGCCUUGCGCGAUUGAAUGAGCCGAUGUCGGAUUAGCUAGUUGGCGGGGUAAAGGCCCACCAAGGCGGCGAUCCGUAGCCAGUCUGAGAGGAUGAUCAGCCACACUGGAAAUGAGACACGGUCCAGACUCCUACGGGAGGCAGCAGUGGGGAAUAUUGGACAAUGGGCGCAAGCCUGAUCCAGCCAUACCGCGUGGGUGAAGAAGGCCUUCGGGUUGUAAAGCCCUUUUGUUGGGAAAGAAAUCCAGCUGGCUAAUACCCGGUUGGGAUGACGGUACCCAAAGAAUAAGCACCGGCUAACUUCGUGCCAGCCGCCGCAGUAA